CCGGACGGAAGGUGGGGGAUGACGUCAAAUCAUCAUGCCCCUUAUGACCUGGGCUACACACGUGCUACAAUGGUUGGUACAACGAGUUGCGAGUCGGUGACGGCGAGCUAAUCUCUUAAAGCCAAUCUCAGUUCGGAUUGUAGGCUGCAACUCGCCUACAUGAAGUCGGAAUCGCUAGUAAUCGCGGAUCAGCACGCCGCGGUGAAUACGUUCCCGGGCCUU
rnacentral:rRNA from 1 species